UGCAGAGGGUGCAAGCGUUAAUCGGAAUUACUGGGCGUAAAGCGUGCGUAGACGGUUACAUAAGUCAGGUGUGAAAGCCCCGGGCUCAACCUGGGAAUUGCAUUUGAGACUGUGUAGCUAGGGUGCGGAAGAGGGAAGCGGAAUUUCCGGUGUAGCGGUGAAAUGCGUAGAUAUCGGAAGGAACACCAGUGGCGAAGGCGGCUCUCUGGUACGUGACUGACGCUGAGACGCGAAAGCGUGGGGAGCAAACAGG
rnacentral:rRNA from 1 species